GUUUAGACUCAUAACUCCCUUAGGUAAGGGAGGUGAGGAGAUGUGCCAGAUGGAAGAACAGUUACUGCUAUUUGUGUUUGGUUUUGGCCACUGAUCCUUCAAAACAGGCUACACCUAGACUCCAGAACAUAGGAUUAGUCUUUAGGUCCAGCUGUAUUUUGGCACAAGGUGAGAACCCAGCGUGCACCAUCAGUCAAAUUCUGCCUUGCUUUCCACCAAAAGGCAUCUGGAAGCCAUCUGGCAGCAGCACCAGGGUAUGUUCUAUCUCCACCCAGGAGUAUCAAUGCAGGCAGCUUAUACAGGCCCUGGCUCUAGCAAGGACUUGUGCUGGCAGUGGAACUGAUCGAAUUAUUCAGCCUAUCACUGAUCUGCAAUGAGAUGCUCUCAAGAUACUCUUAUUCCCUGGCCAGCCCAGCCUGCUUUUCUUGCUGAAAUGCUGCAUGUCUAAAACAUGCCCUGAAGGAACAGCUUGCACAAGAUUGCAUUAAUAUUGACAGUAAAAGAUUAACAUGCAUCCUAUCGUUGAUUUCUACCAAAGCAGAUUUUGUUUGAGGGAUCAUGUGUAACAGUCCUUAAUUAUAUUUGAUUUAGCCAGAAGCAUUCUUUCCUCACUGAAAUAUGUGCCUAGAUACACUUGCUCAAUAGCCACCUGGGCUGUUGUUGGGAUGGU
rnacentral:lncRNA from 12 species